rnacentral:rRNA from 1 species
GAUGAACGCUGGCGGCGUGCUUAACACAUGCAAGUCGAACGGUGAACACGGAGCUUGCUCUGUGGGAUCAGUGGCGAACGGGUGAGUAACACGUGAGCAACCUGCCCUUGACUUUGGGAUAAGCGCUGGAAACGGCGCCUAAUACUGGACAUGUGACGUGCUCGCAUGGUAUGCGUUUGGUAUGCUUAUUCGGCUGGGGAUGGGCUCGCGGCCUAUCAGCUUGUUGGUGAGGUAAUGGAUCACCACGGCGUCGACGGGUAGCCGGCCUGAGAGGGUGACCGGCCACACUGCGACUGAGACACGGCCCAGAGUCCUACAGUGGGCAGCGGUGGGGAGUAUUGCACAAUGAGCGCGAGCCUGAUGCGACAACGCCGCGUGAGGGAUGACGGCCUUCGGGUUGUGAACCUCUUUUAGCAGAGAAGAAGCGAAAGUGACGGUACCUGCAGAAAAAGCGCCGGCUAACUACGUG